AAUUUUGCUUUCUUAUAUCAUGUUUGACUGUUUGUUAUGGUCAUUUCUCGGGUUACCUGUAUUGUGAAUUAUAUGUUCCUUUCUGGAAAGUGGUGCAUGGUAAAAAUUGAGAAAACUGAUUGGCCUUUAAUUUUAAUUUGUUAUUGUUGUUAUUAUAAUGCCUAGUCAGAACUGUGGUGUGCGCAGGUGGAGUUUACAUAUGUAAUGUUG
rnacentral:misc_RNA from 1 species